rnacentral:miRNA from 1 species
CAUAUGCCAUGGUGUGUAGACCCACAUGCCAUGGUGUGUAGACCCAUAUGCCAUGGUGUGUAGACCCAUAUGCCACGGUGUGU